AGUAUUCAAAAGACGCACGUUUUUCGAAUUAAAGCUCCGGCGGUUAAAGAUAAGCAUGCGGGACAUUAGCUAGUUGGUAAGGUAACGGCUUACCAAGGCGACGAUGUCUAGGGGGUUUGAGAGGAUGAUCCCCCACACUGGUACUGAGACACGGACCAGACUCCUACGGGAGGCAGCAGUGAGGAAUAUUGGGCAAUGGGCGCAAGCCUGACCCAGCCAUGCCGCGUGCAGGAUGAAGGUCCUAUGGAUCGUAAACUGCUUUUGUAUGGGAAGAACUUCCCGCAUUCGUGCGGGAUUGACGGUACUAUACGAAUAAGGACCGGCUAACUCCGUGCCAGCAGCCGCGGUAAUACGGAGGGUCCAAGCGUUAUCCGGAUUCACUGGGUUUAAAGGGUGCGUAGGUGGAACGAUAAGUCGAUGGUGAAAGCCUACAGCUUAACUGUAGAAUUGCCAUUGAUACUGUUGUUCUUGGGUAUAGUCGGGGGAAGUGGAAUGCGUAAUGUAGCGGUGAAAUGCAUAGAUAUUACGCAGAACACCGAUCGCGAAAGCAGCUUCCUAGGCUAUUACUGACACUGAGGCACGAAAGCGUGGGGAGCGAACAGGAUUAGAUACCCUGGUAGUCCACGCCGUAAACGAUGCUCACUCGCUGUUGGCGAUAUAUUGUCAGCAGUUAAGCUAAAGCAUUAAGUGAGCCACCUGGGAAGUACGUCCGCAAGGAUGAAACUCAAAGGAAUUGACGGGGGCCCGCACAACCGGUGGAACAUGUGGUUCAAUUCGAUGAUACGCGAGGAACCUUACCUGGGCUUAAAUGUAGUUUGACUUCCGCCGAAAGGCGAUUUUCCUUCGGGACAAAUUACAAGGUGCUGCACGGCUGUCGUCAGCUCGUGCCGUGAGGUAUCGGGUUAAGUCC
rnacentral:rRNA from 1 species